UUUGAGGAAGAUUAGCCCUGAGCUAACAUCCACUGUCAAUCCUCCUCUUUUUGCUGAGGAAGAUUGGCCCUGAGCUAACAUCUGUGCCCACCUUCCUCUAUUUUAUAUGUGGGCCACCUGCCACAGCAUGGUUUGACAAGCGAUGCAUAAGUCCGCACCCGGGAUUCAAACCAGUGAACCCCGGGCCACCAAAGUGGAAUGUGUGAACUUAACCACUGCACCACUGGGCUGGCCACAUGGCUCAUUUUUAGAUGGUCCUGGUAUUUCGUAACUCAUGCUAAGUCCAUGGAUGAACUCUAUAUUCUACUACAGUGUUUGUAAUUGUGCAGCUCUAUUUACCUAAAAAUAUCUAGAAUGCUGCUCUUCAGAAAGCAGCUACUGCAUUCGUCAGAGGACAGUCUUGGCCUCAGAAGCGGACACUGCUUGGCACUUCAUAGACUUUUCAGCCACACUUGAACCCACAGGUCAUGAUGUGUCAUCGGCCCUCCUGUACAUAGAUGUAUAUUCUAGUUGUGAGUGCCUCUGGUUGUGCUAUGUGGGACGCCGCCUCAGCAUGGCCUGAUGAGCAGUGCCAUGUCUGCACCCAGGAUCCAAACCGGCAAAACCCUGGACCGCUGAAGCGGAGCGUGCAAACUUAUCCACUCGGCCACAGGGCUGGACCCCGUAUUUGGUAUUUUUAAACAGAAUUUAUGAUCUAGUGAAUGGAAAUGUCUAAAUAACAACAAAAGUGAGUGAAGGAGGAAAAAAAUAUAAUUCAGGCUACUUUGAGAACUACCAUGAGCUUCCCGCAAAGGAGUAUGAUAUAGGAGAAAACCAGAAUUAACAAAGAUAAAGAGUUCGCUUCUUGCUUUGCCAUAACUCAAACUCAGGUAACACAUUGCUUUGCUGUAGCUUUUGAAGACACUGUUUCAUUGAAUAGAUAAUUAUCAUGAUUAUAGGUAUACAAAUAGAUAUUAAAGUGUUUAACUGUAGUCUUAUUUUCUUAGAGUUCUAAAUAAUUCCUCAUAACCUUAUUGUUUUAAUAUUUUCCAUGAAAAAAGUUCAUUAAGCCUAGGGUCAAUAGACGUCAUUCUAAUCCUUCCCAAUGUUUUGAUUUAGUAAAAUUAAUAUUAUAAUGAGACUGUACUAGUGGUAAUUUCGAUUUGCCUGGCUUAAAAUGUUGGGAAACCCAUCCUGUCUCACGGUAACUCUGAGCUGCCUUAGAUGCUAUUCUUGACUUUGAAUUUCAUCAGUUCUAUUUAUGGAUUGUAUUUAUGUGUUUUUUGGUUGUUUCUUAACACAUUUGAGUGUAUCUACUUUCUCUUCUUCCAAUAUGUAAUCAAUACUCUCAGUAUGCUGUUCUUUUCAAUGAUUAAAAAGUAGAUUUAUCUCUAAUCCAGUGGUCAUAACUACGCAUCCAACAAAGUUCACUCUAAGACCAAAAUGCAGUCAUUAGAUUUUCCUCUUUAGUCCUGAGUACUUGCUAGAAGCCACCACUACCUGUGGCUUCUUUGUGAACUAAGGCAGGUAAGAACAGUUAUCUUCCUUUCCUGUCAUAAUGUUAGUCGUUUCUGAGGCGCUGCCCUGAGGAAUGCAGAGGGAGGAGUGGAGAAGAAAUCUGCUGUCCAGACCUUCUCCAGUUUGAGUAUGGGUGAUAUUCAUAUACUAAGGUUGUACUAAGCCUUUUGAGAUGGCUGUGCCAGGAGUAGGAACUCGCGCAUCCUGUCCUGAGUCUUGUGUUGCUUCAGAACAUGACUCAGCAAUCAUCAGAGUGGGAGCUGAGGGUAGAAUGGCCCAUGGCAGGCCAUCCCUGAAACAUCAUAAGAGAGUCUUUCACCAGAGUGUUGACAUAUCUUCUAACUGACAAAGAUGAGUGGAAAAUAGGCUAUCCUUGAAAUCGUAGGCCUGGGACACAACUUCUUUUGCCAAAGUAUUUGGCCCUAAAUCCAUAACUUGACAUAACUUAACUUAAGCCAUUCGCUAAUGACAUAAAAAGAAAUUUGUAUCAUUCCUGGGGAAGAGCGCUAGUGAUAAAGAAGACAAAAUCAAUCAGCGAUGGAAAGGUAUCAUCGUUAUGGAAGCUGUAUGAAGCUCAGAGAUCAAAUGCCAAUUAACUAAAACUCAAUUUAAAAGCAAUUCAGCUGUGAGGGUGGACACAUGUCAUUAUGCAUUUGUCAAAACCCAUAGAAGGUACAUCACAAGGAGGGAACCCCAAUGUAAACUAUGGACUUUAGUUAAUAAUAGUGUAUCAGUAUUGGCUCACCAAUUGUAACAAACAUACCACACUAGUCAUGCAAGAUGCUAAUAACAGAGGAAACUGUGUGGUUAGGGGACAGAGGAGGUGAGGGGGUCUAUGGGAACUCUUUGUGCUUUCUGCUCAAUUUUUCUGUAAACUUGAAAGUGUUCUAAAAAAU
rnacentral:lncRNA from 1 species